rnacentral:lncRNA from 1 species
GGGGAGGGCCGCAGCCCCCUCCCCCGCUGCUCGCUUCCUCAAGCGCGGAGCGGAAAUUACCCCCUCCCCGCCCCGGGCUGACCUGGGGACGUGGGCGGGGCCUCUGCACCCCCUCCCCCGGCGGCCUUCCAAAAUCCAGCACCCCAAAACUAAGUUCUGAGACCCACAGCCUGCGCAUGGACCAUCGCUCAGUGCAUCGCGGGUAGAGCGGACGCAGGCGGGCGACGCCACCUGUCCGCUCCUUGCGUGGGGAGGGCGAGGGGGACCUCGGAGCUCAACCCGGUCCCUCCCUUCUGAAGCCAACCCCUCCGGUUCGGGGUCGAUCGGUGGUGCGACCACCCCUCGUCGUUUUUCCCCCACCCAGUUGAUCUUCGAGGAUGCUCUCGAGCCGGGUCGUGCAGGCUUUCCCCCAAGGAUGCUGGAGUGUUGUCAUCCAGCAGCUGGACUGGGUGCAAGCCAGCUUUUCUCCAGUGGGGAUCCCGAAACAUGAUUUCCUGCGGGUCCCUCGUUUUCAGGCGCUGUCUCUCGUGUCCCGUGUCCGCAGCUUCCCGAUCCCGCGCUCUCAGGGUCCCCUGAAUCAGGACCCGGGAGGCCAGCGAAGUCUAGCGGUGUAGCGGGAAAGACAGUGACCCCCUACUUAGAAACGUAGAGGAAAGGCGUCUUUCCUUUUAAAUAACCGGUUCCUGCGACCCCCUCCUGAAGACCCCAGAGUCCUCAGCUUCUCUUUGUCUGUCUCGGCAGUCCCCCGCCUGUCAGUCGCUAGCAGUUUGCCGGGGUGGGGUGGGCAGCCCAGUCUCCACAAAACGAAUAAAAAAAUUACCGU